UACGAAGGGGGCUAGCGUUGCUCGGAAUCACUGGGCGUAAAGCGCACGUAGGCGGAUCUUUAAGUCAGGGGUGAAAUCCUGGAGCUCAACUCCAGAACUGCCUUUGAUACUGAAGAGCUUGAGUGCAGGAGAGGAACGCGGAAUUCCAGGUGUAGCGGUGAAAUGCGUAGAUAUCUGGAGGAACACCGGUGGCGAAGGCGGCAUCCUGGACCAAUAUUGACGCUGAGGAGCGAAAGCUAGGGGAGCAAACGGG
rnacentral:rRNA from 1 species